ACCGACGAGAUCGCGCGGCUGCGCGUUGA
rnacentral:sRNA from 1 species